rnacentral:ncRNA from 1 species
AAAGAAGCCAAAAUCCGAGUCAAUGGUUCUAAAGCUAUAGCCAUGAACCAUUGACCAAAGGGUAGGACGGGAAACUGUACUGCCUCCCAUUCUUGGAAAGGAUUUGGAAAUAAAUGUAA